rnacentral:rRNA from 1 species
GGGUUGUGAGGUUAAGCGACUAAGCGUACACGGUGGAUGCCCUGGCAGUCAGAGGCGAUGAAGGGCGUGCUAAUCUGCGAUAAGCGCCGGUAAGGUGAUAUGAACCGUUAUAACCGGCGAUACCCGAAUGGGGAAACCCAGUGUGACUCGUCACACUAUCAUUAACUGAAUCCAUAGGUUAAUGAGGCGAACCGGGGGAACUGAAACAUCUAAGUACCCCGAGGAAAAGAAAUCAACCGAGAUUCCCCCAGUAGCGGCGAGCGAACGGGGAGGAGCCCAGAGCCUGAAUCAGCAUGUGUGUUAGUGGAAGCGUCUGGAAAGGCGCGCGAUACAGGGUGACAGCCCCGUACACAAAAGCGCAUGUGCUGUGAGCUCGAUGAGUAGGGCGGGACACGUGGUAUCCUGUCUGAAUAUGGGGGGACCAUCCUCCAAGGCUAAAUACUCCUGACUGACCGAUAGUGAACCAGUACCGUGAGGGAAAGGCGAAAAGAACCCCGGCGAGGGGAGUGAAAAAGAACCUGAAACCGUGUACGUACAAGCAGUGGGAGCACCCUUUGGGGUGUGACUGCGUACCUUUUGUAUAAUGGGUCAGCGACUUAUAUUCUGUAGCAAGGUUAACCGUAUAGGGGAGCCGUAGGGAAACCGAGUCUUAACCGGGCGUUAAGUUGCAGGGUAUAGACCCGAAACCCGGUGAUCUAGCCAUGGGCAGGUUGAAGGUUGGGUAACACUAACUGGAGGACCGAACCGACUAAUGUUGAAAAAUUAGCGGAUGACCUGUGGCUGGGGGUGAAAGGCCAAUCAAACCGGGAGAUAGCUGGUUCUCCCCGAAAGCUAUUUAGGUAGCGCCUCGUGAAUUCAUCUCCGGGGGUAGAGCACUGUUUCGGCUAGGGGGCCAUCCCGGCUUACCAACCCGAUGCAAACUGCGAAUACCGGAGAAUGUUAUCACGGGAGACACACGGCGGGUGCUAACGUCCGUCGUGAAGAGGGAAACAACCCAGACCGCCAGCUAAGGUCCCAAAGUCAUGGUUAAGUGGGAAACGAUGUGGGAAGGCCCAGACAGCCAGGAUGUUGGCUUAGAAGCAGCCAUCAUUUAAAGAAAGCGUAAUAGCUCACUGGUCGAGUCGGCCUGCGCGGAAGAUGUAACGGGGCUAAACCAUGCACCGAAGCUGCGGCAGCGACACUGUGUGUUGUUGGGUAGGGGAGCGUUCUGUAAGCCUGUGAAGGUGUGUCGUGAGGCAUGCUGGAGGUAUCAGAAGUGCGAAUGCUGACAUAAGUAACGAUAAAGCGGGUGAAAAGCCCGCUCGCCGGAAGACCAAGGGUUCCUGUCCAACGUUAAUCGGGGCAGGGUGAGUCGACCCCUAAGGCGAGGCCGAAAGGCGUAGUCGAUGGGAAACGGGUUAAUAUUCCCGUACUUGGUGUUACUGCGAAGGGGGGACGGAGAAGGCUAUGUUGGCCGGGCGACGGUUGUCCCGGUUUAAGCGUGUAGGUGUGUGUUCCAGGUAAAUCCGGUUCACUUUAACACUGAGGCGUGACGACGAGGCACUACGGUGCUGAAGCAACAAAUGCCCUGCUUCCAGGAAAAGCCUCUAAGCAUCAGGUAACAUCAAAUCGUACCCCAAACCGACACAGGUGGUCAGGUAGAGAAUACCAAGGCGCUUGAGAGAACUCGGGUGAAGGAACUAGGCAAAAUGGUGCCGUAACUUCGGGAGAAGGCACGCUGACACGUAGGUGAAGUGAUUUACUCAUGGAGCUGAAGUCAGUCGAAGAUACCAGCUGGCUGCAACUGUUUAUUAAAAACACAGCACUGUGCAAACACGAAAGUGGACGUAUACGGUGUGACGCCUGCCCGGUGCCGGAAGGUUAAUUGAUGGGGUCAGCGCAAGCGAAGCUCCUGAUCGAAGCCCCGGUAAACGGCGGCCGUAACUAUAACGGUCCUAAGGUAGCGAAAUUCCUUGUCGGGUAAGUUCCGACCUGCACGAAUGGCGUAAUGAUGGCCAGGCUGUCUCCACCCGAGACUCAGUGAAAUUGAACUCGCUGUGAAGAUGCAGUGUACCCGCGGCAAGACGGAAAGACCCCGUGAACCUUUACUAUAGCUUGACACUGAACAUUGAGCCUUGAUGUGUAGGAUAGGUGGGAGGCUUUGAAGCGUGGACGCCAGUCUGCGUGGAGCCGACCUUGAAAUACCACCCUUUAAUGUUUGAUGUUCUAACGUGGACCCGUUAUCCGGGUUGCGGACAGUGUCUGGUGGGUAGUUUGACUGGGGCGGUCUCCUCCUAAAGAGUAACGGAGGAGCACGAAGGUUGGCUAAUCCUGGUCGGACAUCAGGAGGUUAGUGCAAUGGCAUAAGCCAGCUUGACUGCGAGCGUGACGGCGCGAGCAGGUGCGAAAGCAGGUCAUAGUGAUCCGGUGGUUCUGAAUGGAAGGGCCAUCGCUCAACGGAUAAAAGGUACUCCGGGGAUAACAGGCUGAUACCGCCCAAGAGUUCAUAUCGACGGCGGUGUUUGGCACCUCGAUGUCGGCUCAUCACAUCCUGGGGCUGAAGUAGGUCCCAAGGGUAUGGCUGUUCGCCAUUUAAAGUGGUACGCGAGCUGGGUUUAGAACGUCGUGAGACAGUUCGGUCCCUAUCUGCCGUGGGCGCUGGAGAACUGAGGGGGGCUGCUCCUAGUACGAGAGGACCGGAGUGGACGCAUCACUGGUGUUCGGGUUGUCAUGCCAAUGGCACUGCCCGGUAGCUAAAUGCGGAAGAGAUAAGUGCUGAAAGCAUCUAAGCACGAAACUUGCCCCGAGAUGAGUUCUCCCUGAGACUUAGAGUCUCCUGAAGGAACGUUGAAGACGACGACGUUGAUAGGCCGGGUGUGUAAGCGCAGCGAUGCGUUGAGCUAACCGGUACUAAUGAACCGUGAGGCUUAACCUUACAACGCCGAAG